AUUCAGGUUUUCGCUUACGCAUUAUCAGUUUGGUGGUGGAGUAAGCUAAGCGACGUGUCCCAAAGUGGCUUCUUGUGUUUCUAAUUUGAAGUAGUCCUUUGCCUCCUCCAUCCAACCAUUCUGACAGCUUUUGCUUUUGGUGUCUUUAAAGCUUCAAGCUCCAAUAAUCAGGAUCUGAGCGCAAGUUGGACUGACCUAAUUGCUCAGCCUAUUGAGGCCAAGUGCAAGCCUCUGUAAUCUUCGGCUCCUAAUGCUCGAGUCCGAGGCCUUGAGUAUUAUUGACUCUCGCGAUAUAACACCAUAGACCUCACUCUCAAGCAGUGAAGUGAGCUCUGCCCUUCUCUUGAUACUGUAGUAGUAUACAUAUAAGUCGGUCAAUAUAUGUCAUGUCCUCAUCUCAUGUUGUGUACGACACCAGCUUAUGCCAUCUUGAGGAAAAUGGAAACGGUAGAUUCAACCAAGACGAGGAGAGGAAAGAUGAGAUGAUGGUAAUAUGUAGACGACCGAAUUUACUUGCUUGCCGUUUGAGAUCUAGCUCAAUAUUGCAGAGAGAGAGAGAGAGAGAGAGAGAGAGAGGAUACUUCUGUCAUCUUGACAAACCAAGAAAAUAGUGUGAACAACUCUUGACAUCUUCAAAGUGAAAGGAUUUCUUUUAUUUCGUCCUAGUAUCUACAGAAGAUUGAAAUUCUUAGUUCCAUUAUCAGCAAAGCGUAUAAAAACAUGAAUACAGAUUUGAGACAUUUCGUAUGUUGUUUUUACAUGCCUUUAGGGUCUCUUGCUACUAGUCAGGGUAAGAAAUAGAGUGAGUACAGUACUGCAUCCUAGGAAGCUUAGAAAAGACUUGUAAUUUCAGAUCUGUCAUGAAUCUCUCUAUUUUCCAGUCCUGUUUUCCGCAUGUUACUGAAGUCUAGAUACCUCAGUUUCCUAAUGGACGUGUGCAAAAUAAUCAGCACCCUGUCUAGAUAAAAUUACCCAAUCCAUCUCCACACAUGUCAAUUUUUUCUCCGACGAAAAGAUGUUUUGAGGCGAAUUUUCAGACGUCGUGCAAAGCCUUCUUUUUAUGGGGUUCAAGUGCAGAGAGCACUUACCGUGACUCGAUCCAAAGUCUUGGUCAAGUCGCUCGAUUAUGCAACCAACCACUCCACCAUGACUGGUGGAUGGCUUGUAUACAGGUUAAAACUUUAACUAUGACUGAGAAAAUUAUUUUCCACGUCCCUGUGGAAUGAAAGCAAAAACUUUCCAAUUGUAGUCACAGGCGAAAUUUGUAUUGUAAAGGUCCAAUGUGCCAAAAACCAGGAUGCAUGGCCUUAUGAAAAUCCACGCCAUUACCAACGGAAGAGGUUCUGCAAUUACAACCAGAAAAUCUAUCAAUCAAAAGCACAAGAACAAAUCUGAAAGAUGCAUAGUGUCGUACUGGGGGCGACUCUCAACUCACCAGCUUCUUUUUCUUUUCUUUUUCUCAACGUAGGCCAAGAGCUUUUCCAGUCAGGCAAUGGAAGCCUCCAAUGCCUGUAUGAAUUUCAGUAUCAGUGUGGAUUCUAUUCUGAAUAAAUUUGUGGAUCUUAUGAUUUUUGAACAAGCAAAAAUGGAAAGCACUCGGUGCAGAUUUUUUACUCACUAAUUAAUUAAUUGGGAGGCAUGCAUUUGGUAACAGGCAGAGGCCUGGAUAUUUAUAAGCUAGUUGUGCAUAGACCUUCUUGGUUGAAGAUAGCUCCUGUUCUAGGGCUUCAACGCAACCAACUGCAGCAGAAAUAGAAGGCUCCGGCAACUGAUGUGGUUGAAGGCCAUGCCACAUGUCGUGCAGACCACAGUGAACAUCCCCUUGACAAAGGCCAAUAGACCAUUGAAGAUGCGGUUGCUUAUAGCUUCUGAAGAUUUGCAAGGAUCGGGCAUGGCAAAGCAACCUGGUUAGCAGGUGACAUCUGAUUAGCUCAUUUAUGUCGAAGGUCACUUUCAAAACCAAUGCAGAGUAACCUUGGAUGAUAGCAAGCUCUCAGACUUUUCACUCACUCAAAUUCUUCAUUCGUAUAUGAUCUUGUAUAGGAUUUUCUUGGAGUAUGCACCAGAUUGCAUACCUUUUUCCAAUUCAGAUUUGGAAGUUGGUAAUAUGUUAAUACAACCAGUGUCGACAUUCUUGUCAAUUAUAGGUAAAAAGCGAUCAUAACUGUUUCCAGCAUUGCACUCUUUCACAACGAAAAUCUAGACAAAAGGAGAUUAUCUACCA